ACAUUUUUUAUAACCUAAAACUGUAUUUAACACGCUACUCGAGAGAAUUAAUACAGCACCACUUUCUAACACAACACAUCUAAUAUUCAUUUAAAUAUCUGCGAAAAGCCAAUCCUAAAAUUCACAUUUUUCGCAGGUUCGGGUUGCUGGUCCAGGGGGUCCUGGGUCCGACUGGCAUCGUUUGCAGUCGGGGCGAGGAGUGACCGAGGUUCUCAGCGUCUCUGCCGGCUUCGGACCUCGCCCCUGCUGCCCAAACACCGCCCCGACCUCUCAGUUCGGCUUUGGCUCGUUUUUUGGGGGGAUUUUUGCGGGAUUUGGUGGCUAAAUUUGCAUGGCUCCUGAGGUCUGCUCCCUGUCCGGGGGGUGUCAUCCCCUUGGCAGCAGGCGAGGGUGGCACUGAAAGAAGAAUUCUCCACAACAGAGGGUUAAUUUGGAUACUCAACAGGUGAUUGCAACAUUUAACCAACAAAAGAACUCUUGGCCAGCGAUCAGUUCCCAGCUUAGUUUAAACUCUGCAACCCUUUUUUUAAAAAAUGGAUAACUCUUUUUUUUACUCAUAACAUCCGCCGGCUUCGGACCUCGCCCCUGCUGCCCAAACACCGCCCCGACCUCUCAGUUCUGCUUUGGCUCGUUUUUUGGGGGAAUUUUGCGGGAUUUGGUGGCUAAAUUUGCAUGGCUCCUGAGGUCUCCUCCUGUAAUAAAUUGAAGCAGACUCCAAUUAGCUCAGUCCAAUUGGAAUUUAUUAAUUACAGCAAGCAAGGUUGUCCUAGGGUGACUGUUAUCGCCAUUCGUGUGUGUAAUUUAUGCUGGAUAUAAUGUUCUGUGCCUUUAAGACUGGCAGAAUGAGAGGUUUUUUUUGGCCUCUUAUCAGCCACUCAGCGAGACAUACAGAUAGCACCACGACUUAGUGCUGCUUUUUUGCUCUUUGCCCUGCUUUUUGCUUUUGCGCUUGCUUCUGCUUCGCUUCUGCUUUGGUUGCUCUUGCUUUUUUCCCCCUCUUCUCAUUAGCUGAUUUGGCCAAACAGUCCAAAUUCCUUUCUGGACUACUUCCCCUGUGUGGACCUGCCGAACCUGCUCUGGACUGGGAUUGGAACCACCGAUUUGGAAACACCGAGCAGCUGCCCCAGCGCCGGAGGGACAGAUAACAGCAACCACUCCCCAGGAGAGACUUUCUGAAUUUGUCAUCUUUUUCAGAGCAGUGGAAGAGUGGUGUCAUCCGGUUCGGGUUGCUGGUCCAGGGGGUCCUGGGUCCGACUGGCAUCGUUUGCAGUCGGGGCGAGGAGUGACCGAGGUUCUCAGCGUCUCUGCCGGCUUCGGACCUCUGCCCUGCUGCCCAAACACCGCCCCGACCUCUCAGUUCGGCUUUGGCUCGUUUUUUGGGGGGAUUUUCCAGGAUUUGCUGGCUAAAUUUGCAUGGCUCCUGAGGUCUGCUCCCUGUCCGGGGGGUGUCAUCCCCUUGGCAGCAGGCGAGGGUGGCACUGAAAGAAGAAUUCUCCACAACAGAGGGUUAAUUUGGAUACUCAACAGGUGAUUGCAGCAUUUAACCAACAAAAGAACUCUUGGCCAGCGAUCAGUUCCCAGCUUAGUUUAAACUCUGCAACCCUUUUUUUAAAAAAUGGGUAACUCUUUUUUUUACUCAUAACAUCCGCCGGCUUCGGACCUCUCCCCUGCUGCCCAAACACCGCCCCGACCUCUCAGUUCUGCUUUGGCUCGUUUUUUGGGGGAAUUUUGCGGGAUUUGGUGGCUAAAUUUGCAUGGCUCCUGAGGUCUCCUCCUGUAAUAAAUUGAAGCAGACUCCAAUUA